rnacentral:rRNA from 1 species
UACGGAGGGUGCAAGCGUUGUCCGGAAUCAUUGGGCGUAAAGCGCGUGUAGGCGGCCCGAUAAGUCCGCUGUGAAAGUCCAGGGCUCAACCCUGGAAUGCCGGUGGAUACUGUCGGGCUCGAGUCCGGAAGAGGCGAGUGGAAUUCCUGGUGUAGCGGUGAAUUCGUAGAUACUUCGGAAGAACACCAGUGGCGAAGGCGGCUCACUGGUCCGGUACUGACGCUGAGGUGCGAAAGCGUGGGAGCAACAGG